rnacentral:rRNA from 1 species
UACGUAGGCAGCAAGCGUUGUUCGGAAUUACUGGGUGUAAAGAGUGUGUAGGCGGUGUUCUAAGUCUGUUGUGAAAUCUCCCGGCUUAACUGGGAGGGUGCGGCGGAGACUGGAAUGCUAGAGUGUGGGAGAGGUAAGCGGAAUUCCUGGUGUAGCGGUGAAAUGCGUAGAUAUCAGGAGGAACACCUGUGGUGUAGACAGCUUACUGGACCACGACUGACGCUGAGACACGAAAGCGUGGGUAGCAAACAGG